AAAUGUUGUGGUAACACUUGAAAAUGGAAUUGGGUGCAAUUAAGAGUGGUGAAGCGGCUGCAAGGCUGCUGAAUGAGAUCAGCAAUGCUAACACUGCUAGUUCAGCGCAUUGAAAUGCACUACAGGAACGGUUGACUGACUAUUUCGCUGAUCCUGCAGCAGAGGAUGAUUUUGUUGACACUGAGACCGACCCUGAUAGUGAAACCGAAGUUAGCAAUGUGCUAUAUUCUCAUGCACUCUCUAGAUAAUGGCCAAGACCCUAGUGAUGUGGCUGGGGAUGACUUUCAGGGUCCAGCUGUUUCCUCUGUGUUGAAUGUUGUGUGUAAGGACAAUGUUAAUGCAGCUGACGUACAGGAUGACGAUACAGGUGAAGCCCCAGGUAUUGUGGAAGUGAAUCAAGCCGCAGCAGUGAUGAAGUUGGUAAAGGACUUUGUUCUAGAUAAAGACAAGGACGCGAACGCUGCGUCAAGCAAUUGGAGCCAGAACCUGUGUAUAAUUUGCGGCUCAGCAUGUCGGAAAUGACGGACUUUGAGAAAGAUCUCAUACUCAUCGGGAAAGUCAGCUCUACCAUGAAUCAGUCCAGUUUGACAGAAUGUUCGAAAUGAGCUUCCCAGAACCAAAGAAAAAGGCAACAAACGAAUUACUUUGUUGAAGGAAAACGAGUCUGUCGCAAAGCUUUUAAAUUCAUUCAUGGAUUUCUGAGGAAAAGCUCGAUGUCUGCAUCUUGUGGUACAAGGAAAGCGGCCUUGUUCCACGCCAGAAGAAGUCUGCAGGCAGAGGAAAGAAUCCAAGGUUUCUGUCACAUGGUGACCAUCAGAGGGUUGUCUCAUUCAUAGAGAACUUUGCUGAGGACCAUGCCAUAGUGCUUCCUGGCCGUAUCCCUGGCUUCAAAGAUUUCCGUAUGAAACUGCUGCCAUCAAGUGAGACCAGGUCUUCUAUAUGUCGGCUCUAUCGCACUGCAAUGCAGUUAUCUGGUGAGCGAGCAGUGAAGAACAGCACCUUCCGUAAACUGUGAAACACCCUUCUACCGUUCAUAGUCCAGGCGAAACCAAUGCCGGAUCUGUGUUGGACUUGCCAACAGAACAACUAUGCGGUAUACAGGAGUGCGAAUCUUCCAGAAGCUGUUAAAUCAAGAAAACUAAUUAAACAGGAAGAGCACCUGCGUGUUGUCAAUAUGGAACGUCAGUCAUAUCGUGACAUGGUUGCAGCUGCAAAAACGGCAGUCGGUGAAAUGGAUGGACCAGUCCGACUAGGACCAAAUCGACC